rnacentral:rRNA from 1 species
UGGAGUCGGGGGAUAGCCCGGCGAAAGCCGGAUUAAUACCGCAUACGCUCUGAGGAGGAAAGCGGGGGACCUUAGGGCCUCGCGCUCAAGGGGCGGCCGAUGGCAGAUUAGCUAGUUGGUAGGGUAAAGGCCUACCAAGGCGACGAUCUGUAGCUGGUCUGAGAGGACGACCAGCCACACUGGGACUGAGACACGGCCCAGACUCCUACGGGAGGCAGCAGUGGGGAAUUUUGGACAAUGGGGGCAACCCUGAUCCAGCAAUGCCGCGUGUGUGAAGAAGGCCUUCGGGUUGUAAAGCACUUUUGUCCGGAAAGAAAACGGCCUGGUUAAUACCUGGGCUGGAUGACGGUACCGGAAGAAUAAGCACCGGCUAACUACGUG